AUACGGGACUAACCGUGGCUACGUGUAACCAUCUGCAUGUACCGUAUGAAUAAGCAUCGGCUAACUCCGUGCCAGCAGCCGCGGUAAUACGGAGGAUGCGAGCGUUAUCCGGAAUUAUUGGGUUUAAAGGGUGCGUAGGCUGACAUGUAAGUCAGUGGUGAAAGACCCCGGCUUAACCGGGGGGUUGCCAUUGAAACUGUAUGUCUUGAGAGUAGUCGAAGUGGGCGGAAUGAGGUGUGUAGCGGUGAAAUGCAUAGAUAUACCUCAGAACACCGAUAGCGAAGGCAGCUCACUAGGUUACACCUGACGCUGAGGCACGAAAGCGUGGGUAUCAAACAGGAUUAGAUACCCUGGUAGUCCACGCUGUAAACGAUGAUCACUAGCUGUUUGCGAUAUACAGUAAGUGGCUAAGCGAAAGCGAUAAGUGAUCCACCUGGGGAGUACGUCGGCAACGAUGAAACUCAAAGGAAUUGACGGGGGCCCGCACAAGCGGAGGAGCAUGUGGUUUAAUUCGAUGAUACGCGAGGAACCUUACCUGGGCUUGAACGUAUGGUGCAUGGCGGUGAAAGUCGCCUUUCUUCGGACUCCAUACGAGGUGCUGCAUGGCUGUCGUCAGCUCGUGCCGUGAGGUGUUAGGUUAAGUCCUGCAACGAGCGCAACCCCUGUUUCCAGUUGCCAGCAC
rnacentral:rRNA from 1 species